UCUGGAUCAGUCACCAUCUUCAUAAUGAUCUAUCGAUCGAAAGUAUUUAGGAAUUAACUACUAAUGACAUGUGCCUCAAAUUUUUAACUCUUAAGAAUAUGUGUCAUCAUCUAUUAAUUCCUCAAAUGAUUCAUAGACACAAGUCAAACACAAUAUGAAUGAAAAAAUAAUCUAAUUUUUAUUUAUUUCAAAAUUUAAUUAUAAAAUUAUGUCCCUAAAAUGUGUAUAUAUGUCAGCUAAUCUGGCUUUCAGGACAUAUAUCUAACAGACUACACCAUAACUCGAUC
rnacentral:lncRNA from 1 species